rnacentral:rRNA from 1 species
UACGAAGGGGGCUAGCGUUGCUCGGAAUUACUGGGCGUAAAGCGCACGUAGGCGGUCUUUUAAGUCGGGGGUGAAAUCCUGGAGCUCAACUCCAGAACUGCCUUCGAUACUGGAAGACUUGAGUCCGGGAGAGGUGAGUGGAACUGCGAGUGUAGAGGUGAAAUUCGUAGAUAUUCGCAAGAACACCAGUGGCGAAGGCGGCUCACUGGCCCGGUACUGACGCUGAGGUGCGAAAGCGUGGGGAUCAAACAGG